UUCUUAUAAAUAACUCAAACGACGGUACAAUCAACAAAAUUCGCUGUGAAAUAUAUAUUAAUCCUAUUUAUGCUGCCACGAUUGCAGCCGAUCUUAGCCAAAAUGAUGCCCAUAAUGUUUGGCAGUUAUUAACCAAGUUCAAAUUUACACAACGGUAUCCUUGGCGCAAUGAAUAAAAUUCGUUGUGAAGUACACCAUAUGUGCUCUGGCACCAGCCAGAGCUACUGGAACAUGUAUCACUUUAUUAAUCCCCAAAAUUUUGUUCUUAUUAUCAACUUGCACACAACGGUAUCCUUGGUAUAAUACUUACGCAGGCCACAGCAAUUGGAAUUCAUGCCCACACUCGCCGAUUUAAAGUGAAGAAGAAACACAAAUAUCUGACAAGAAAGAAGGUACAUGGGCCAAGCGACGACUUUAAUGCACGUUUUAACGUUUGAAAUUUGCAUUUAUUUUCCAACUUUUAAUAAA